GAUCUGUAAUAGCUUAUUUUAUAAGGUAUUUAAAAGAAUCAAUGAGAUACUACUACUUUCCAUAAGAUCACAAUGUGAUUGUGAGUCGAAACAUCAUAUUUUUAAAAAAAUAGUUUAUCCAGGAUAGUGGCAGUGGGAGAUUAGUUGAGCUUGAAGAGAAUAUCUCUAAAGAGAAAAGAGCUAUAGAUCCUCAGAAAUUCAUUAUUUAUGAGCCAGUAGUUGAUGUUCUUUUAUCACCUCAG
rnacentral:lncRNA from 1 species